UGGGGAAUUUUGGACAAUGGGCGAAAGCCUGAUCCAGCAAUGCCGCGUGUGUGAAGAAGGCCUUCGGGUUGUAAAGCACUUUUGUCCGGAAAGAAAUCCUUGGCUCUAAUACAGUCGGGGGAUGACGGUACCGGAAGAAUAAGCACCGGCUAACUACGUGCCAGCAGCCGCGGUAAUACGUAGGGUGCAGCGUUAAUCGGAAUUACUGGGCGUAAAGCGUGCGCAGGCGGUUUGCUAAGACCGAUGUGAAAUCCCCGGGCUCAACCUGGGAACUGCAUUGGUGACUGGCAGGCUAGAGUAUGGCAGAGGGGGGUAGAAUUCCACGUGUAGCAGUGAAAUGCGUAGAGAUGUGGAGGAAUACCGAUGGCGAAGGCAGCCCCCUGGGCCAAUACUGACGCUCAUGCACGAAAGCGUGGGGAGCAAACAGGAUUAGAUACCCUGGUAGUCCACGCCCUAAAACGAUGUCAACUAGUUGUUGGGGAUUCAUUUCCUUAGUAACGUAGCUAACGCGUGAAGUUGACCGCCUGGGGAGUACGGUCGCAAGAUUAAAACUCAAAUGAAUUGACGGGGUCAUAGCUGUUUCCU
rnacentral:rRNA from 1 species